rnacentral:rRNA from 1 species
AUGGAAGUUGCUAUCACUCAUACAAUGCCCUCUACAGUCCACCGUUUGUGCAAAUGGCACGUUAUGAAAAGUAUAAAGGAGAAUCUUGGGGCAUUAUAUAAGAAAGGGACCCCAUUCCGAAUUGACUUUAAUCGUCUCACGAAUGAGAUGAUGACUGUCGAUGAGUUCGACCGUGGAUGGGCUUAUCUGAUGGACACCUAUGGACUUGCUGGCAACAGGUACAUGGCACAUAUAUAUGAUUGCCGUGACAAAUGGGCCAAACCCUACCUCAGCUCGAACUUCCGCGCCAAGAUGUGUAGCACGCAACGUAAUGAGUGCAUGAAUAAUGUGCUGAAAAGCUAUGUUUCGCUUUCAGCACCUCUCAACCGUUUUGUGCUGCAGUAUAACAAGCUCAUAGCACAGCGGUGCGAGGAUGAAGACUUUGAGAUGGCACACACAAAGAAGGAUGGUAAGGUCCUCCAUACAAACUUUCCUAUCGAGCGUCACGCGUCUAAGGUUUACACGCGCUCCUUGUUCAAGUUGUUCUCCGCUGAGUUGUUCGAGUCCGGUAAUUACCUCGUUCAAGGGCCGCAAUUAGAUGGACAUGUUGUCGUGGAGCACGUGGACUCGAGUCGCCGUGCUCACUGGUGUAAGGUUAGCUAUGAGAUCAUGGUUGACCGCGAGAGCGAUACCUACAGUUGCGAAUGUGCCAUGUUUGAGCACAUGGGUAUCCUUUGUCGGCAUGCUCUGAAGGUGAUGGUGCACGUUGGUGUGUGCCGAAUCCCUAGUCAUUACAUUUUGAAAAGGUGGAGUAGGGAUGCCCGUGAUGUUCUUCCUGAUCACUUAAAAUGUUAUCAGAAGGACUCGGACCUGGGGGUGUCUAAGACGUUUAGGCACAACAUUCUAUAUGUGCGCGCUCUGCAAGUUGUCAAGCUUGGCAAUAUGAGCGUCCCGCUCUUCAACCACGCCGUGCAGCGACUGCUAGCCCUGGAGAAAGAACUGAAUGCCAUGGCUGAGGAAGAAGCAGAAAACAAAUCAGCUGGCUUGUGCGGGUCUGAAACUUUGAGGUGCACGUCUCCUGCUACCCUUUCUGAAGAAAUUCCGAACUCAGGGGCAUAUGCCGGUGAAGCUGCGCCCCCUGAUCUCAUGUCUGAACCGGUCGACGUCCCUUUGUCACCGCAGAGAAUGCCCCCUGACCUUGCGUCUGAUCCGGUCGAUGCGCCUUUGCCGCCACAGAGAAGGCCCUCUCGUGGUCGUCCAAAAUCUCAGAGGAUGAAAUCGGUGCUAGAGCAUAUAGGGAAGAAGCCAGCGGCGACCUACGCCGUGUGCGGUUCUGAAGAACACCAUACCGAGGAAUGUGAAUGUAUGCAGAUGCCUGAGCGCGGCGAUAGCAGCGAAGACAGCGAGCCUGAACAUCCGGACCCCGCACCGUCAGGUUCGUGUGUUCGUAGGGCGCAGCCGAUGAGGCCCAACAAAAGGCAGUCUAAAACUGAAGCUUCAGAUGUGUGUGUCAGUAAGACUGCCGCUGCACCAUGGUUUUCUCGAGGAACAACGCAGCAUCAUGGUCUCCGCCACAAUGGGGCGUCUUCGUCGGCUAAUGCCAUUGAUCGAACACCAAAGAUGAAGCCUCCCGCUCCACCACGCAGAUGCAGCGUCUGUGGCGAGAAAGGACACUACAAAUCUUCUUGCCCUGAUCACGAUGCCGGUCCAAAGCCGGCCCAAACUCGUCGAUGCAAAAAAUGUGGGAUCGGAAAGCACAACUCCAGGACCUGCAUUGUGCUCCCCCAAUUCAAACGACCUCGUCGCGGAGACUAG